rnacentral:lncRNA from 1 species
GGGCACAAUGAGAUUUGGGAAUUUGGGAUGGACAGGGGGCACAAUGAGAUUUGGGAAUUUGGGAUGGACAGGGGGCACAAUGAGAUUUGGGAAUUUGGGAUGGACAGGGGGCACAAUGAGAUUUGGGAAUUUGGGAUGGACAGGGGGCACAAUGAGAUUUGGGAAUUUGGGAUGGACAGGGGGCACAAUGAGAUUUGGGAAUUUGGGAUGGACAGGGGGCACAAUGAGAUUUGGGAAUUUGGGAUGGACAGGGGGCACAAUGAGAUUUGGGAAUUUGGGAUGGACAGGGGGCACAAUGAGAUUUGGGAAUUUGGGAUGGACAGGGGGCACAAUGAGAUUUGGGAAUUUGGGAUGGACAGGGGGCACAAUGAGAUUUGGGAAUUUGGGAUGGACAGGGGGCACAAUGAGAUUUGGGAAUUUGGGAUGGACAGGGGGCACAAUGAGAUUUGGGAAUUUGGGAUGGACAGGGGGGCACAGUGAGAUUUGGGAAUUUGGGAUGGGGGCACAGUGAGAUUUGGGAAUUUGGGAUGGACGGGGCACAGUGAGAUUUGGGAAUUUGGUAUGGGAGCACAGCGAGAUUUGGGAAUUUGGGGUGGGUGGGCUCUGCACCCACUGGAGCUGCCGAACAUGGAGAAGGUUUCUGUGGAGGAGGAGAGCAGGGGGAAUGUGCGGGAAGCCUCUAAUAAAGUUCUCUCUCAUUUAUUACUCCUGUGUCCUCCCUUCUGUCUGUUAGAGGAGCCCUGGGUUUUCCAGGAGAAUUAAUUUCCAGCAGGAGAUCCUGUGUCCUCCCUUCUGUCUGUUAGAGGAGCCCUGGGUUUUCCAGGAGAAUUAAUUUCCAGGAGGAGAAUUUUCUCAUUUUUCCUUCACUCUGAUUUUUUCCUUCACUCUGAUUUUUUCCCUUCACUGAUUUCCCCUUCACUCCGAUUGAUUUUUUCCUUCACUGAUUUCUCCUUCACUCUGAUUUUUUCCCUUCUUUCUGAUUUUUUCCUUCAUUCUCAUUUUCCCUUCAUUCCGAUUUUUCCUUCACUCUCAUUUUUUCUUCUCUCUGAUUUUUCCUUCACUCUGAUUUUCCCUUCACUCCGAUUUUUUCCUUCACCUUCGGGUGCUGAAACCAGAACAACUCCCAUGGGAAUUUCUGCAGCUUUUCGGGGUUUUUGGGGUUUGAGUUGGGAUUUUUCGGGGCUUUUGGGGUUUGAGUUGGGGUGUUUGGGGUCUGAGUUGGAGGUUUUUGGGGUUUUGGGGUUUGAGGUUUUCAGGGGUUUGGGUUUUUUUGGGGUUUGAGUUGCGGGUUUUCGGGUUUUUUGGGGUUUGAGUUGCGGUUUUUCGGGGGUUUUGGGGGUUGAGUUGGAGUUUUUGAGAUUUUUGGGGUCUGAGUUGGAGUUUUUGGGGUUUGAGUUGGGGAUUUUGGGGUUUUGGGAGGUUUGAGUUGGGGUUUUUCGGGGCUUUUGGGGUUUGAGUCCCCCCCCCCCCCCCCCCCCCCCCCCCCCCCCCCCCCCCCCCCCCCCC